UCAAUUCGUUGAAAUUUUGCACCUCUCUGACAAUUUUAUCACUAUCCAAUUCAUCUGAUUUAUUUUCAAUUACUUCACAUUGAUUUUACCCCCAAUCAUCUUCUUGCAAACACUCCCAGCGAAUGAUCUUCUCCAAAACGCGCGACGACGCUACUUGUUGUAAUGCCCUUUCCAAGACCACCCACUACACGUCUACACCACCAGUUACCAAUAUCUACUUCAUUCUCCUCUAAGGUAUCAACGGAGUUGUUCGUUCGAUAAACGGAGAGAGUUUACAAACUGCACGCCAAAUGUUUGUGAAAAUGUGGAAGAGAGAAACUUUUAUAAGAGAGUAAUUGAUAGGUGAAAUUUUAAUUGCAUUGAUAUAAUAACAUGUUGGGAUAAAAUCUUGAAAAAAAUGGAGUUUCACAG
rnacentral:lncRNA from 1 species